rnacentral:rRNA from 1 species
GCAAUGGGCGAAAGCCUGACGGAGCAACGCCGCGUGAGGGAUGAAGGCCUCUGGGCUGUAAACCUCUUUUCUCAAGGAAGAAGAUCUGACGGUACUUGAGGAAUAAGCCACGGCUAAUUCCGUGCCAGCAGCCGCGGUAAUACGGGAGUGGCAAGCGUUAUCCGGAAUUAUUGGGCGUAAAGCGUCCGCAGGCGGCCUUUUAAGUCUGUUGUUAAAGCGUGGAGCUCAACUCCAUUUCGGCAAUGGAAACUGGAAGGCUGGAGUGUGGUAGGGGCAGAGGGAAUUCCCGGUGUAGCGGUGAAAUGCGUAGAUAUCGGGAAGAACACCAGUGGCGAAGGCGCUCUGCUGGGCCAUAACUGACGCUCAUGGACGAAAGCCAGGGGAGCGAAAGGGAUUAGAUACCCCUGUAGUCCUGGCCGUAAACGAUGAACACUAGGUGUCGGGGGAAUCGACCCCCUCGGUGUCGUAGCCAACGCGUUAAGUGUUCCGCCUGGGGAGUACGCACGC